UCCUUCUCAUUCCCUUGGAGGAGGUCCAGGUGAAAGGAGCUGGAGGAGAGGAAAUAUUGCUGAAUCCUGAGUUGUCCCCACUGCUAGAAGAUGGUCUUGCCUAUAUCAGGGUGACGGGACCACUUGUGGUGAGAGGAGAAAUAUAUGCUGAGGUGAUCUUCCAGAUUGAUCUGGGCUCCUGGAAGGUCUUGGCAUGGCAGCAGAGUCAAGAACCAGAUCCAUUGUUGAGGCCUCAAGUGUUUCCUCGAAGGAGCCAGGGCAUAGAGAUCCAGGCACAUGAAGAUGGCUCUAGAAUCCUUUAGGCCAUGAAGCUUUGCAUCAGUGUGUUUGGAGAAGAAGAAAGUGCCUUCCAACAAAAGGUCCUGGAUGGACUAUUGGACCUCCAUUGGCAGACCUGAGAACUGGAGCCAACAGCCUCUGUGCAUGACCGCCGCAGAAGCCAUGAAUCUAGUCACCAAAUCUGUUGCAGCCAGGGAGGCCUGUAGUGAGGUCCUGACCACAGACUUCCCUUCCUCUAACAAAACGGAGAACUCCUGUCUUGUCUCCUGGGGAAGAGAGUCCUUGAACUUCAUCAUUGAUUCCCAAACAUUAAAUUGUGUCUCACCAGCAACACCUGCUGGUUGGAAAUGCUGAGUUCUGGACCCCCUGUAGCAUGAACCUUUCUGCCAAAAAGGUUUAGUCUCCUGCAUCUUUUGCUUUUAAGGUCAUUCCUUUCUGGCCCUGUCUGUCCCUCUCAUUGGCCUUUGAGACCACCAGGGACCCCAGAGGGUGAAAGGAGUACAAUUACUCAAAGCUUUGAGCUGAAAAAAAGUACUUCUUUUCAGCCCUUUUUGUGGUGGGAGGCAGGGAGGAUGGGGUUUGUCAUAGGGCUUUAAUAGAUCCCAUAAUGCCCUCAUUGAGAGGGAGGGCCACCUUUGAUGGGCCCACAGCAGUCAAGAUAUUGACCAUACAUUUGUAAAUUUUAAAUCCUGUUCAUUUUCCACUUACCUUUAGUUUAGGAGCCUUGUUAAUUUUCAAUUUUGCAAGGAUGAUUCUGAAAUAAUUAGACUUUUGUGGCACAUUAUGUAUAGAGACAUAAAGAUCUAAUAACAAAUAAAAGUAAUACUAUUUUAUAAUAAAACAGUAUUGUUAGCUAAUAUAAUUUCAUCAGAAAAAGGGGGGUAGAAAUUCAUUGUUUAGCCAUACGCCGUGCAUAUGUUUCAUCAAUAGCAAAAGGUUGGGCAUAUUAUCUCCUAAUGGACUUAGUUUUUUCUACAGCUAUUGUAUUGUUUCUGGUUUCACAAAUGUAAUCUGUGAAAGCCCUGUCUGCACAGCAAUUACUUUCACUAGCAAUUUAUCAUUUUUGACAGAGUUAGUCACUCUGCUGGAACUGAUAGAGUUAUGAACCCUCCCUAUGAUCCAGUUAAACAUGUGUUUCACAUAUUUAACUCUUUUCUUGUUGGUCCUCCUCUCCCCUGUAUCUGCUGUGCCAUUGUUCUUGAAUUUCUUCUCCACUGGAGUAAAUGGAAUGAUAGGAAGUACUUUGGUAAGUCCAGAUGCUCCGCAGGUGUGUUAUUCCUCAAUGUAUCUGCAAUGCUCAGAAGCAAUUAAAGCAGGCUGGUACUAAAAAGGACAGUGCCUUCCUCAUUGUUGCUCUUGUUUAUUUUGCAUUGAAUUCAUUUGUCACUAAUCAAUUCCUUUCUUUCUCCCUAUCCAAUCCUUUAAAAAAAAACCAACUUCCAAUUGAUUUGCCUUGUUUUAUGCUGGACAUGAGACAAAAGCAGCAAUUCUUUUAUAUCUGUUUAAAAAAUAAACCAGUUCCGAUGCCUGUCCUCCAGGGUGGUAUAUUAUAAUUUAAGAAAUAAUUAGUGAAUGCCACCUCUAAUCAAUCACUCCCUUUGCUGACUUAUUUGAUGUUGAGGAAGCCUGGCUUACAAAUAAGGGUUAAUAACUGCUGUUUACAGCCAAAAUAAAAAAUGUUUUCAAGAGUCUAACGAUGUUGCUGUGCUGCACAAUAGGGUUCCAAUAAAGCUGGCUGACCAAACCAUAUUCCUGGUGUGACAGACCCAGACCAGUUGGGUGCCUGGUAGAAGGCAAAUAUACUGGCCACUGGAUGAAUAGUUUUCUGUUCCCUGAGUGACCAGAGCAGGGGCUGCCCUACAGCAAUCAUUUGUGACCUG